CCUACGGGCGGCAGCAGUGGGGAAUAUUGGACAAUGGGCGAAAGCCUGAUCCAGCCAUGCCGCGUGUGUGAAGAAGGCCUUCGGGUUGUAAAGCACUUUCAGUGGGGAAGAAAGCCUUGGGGCUAAUACCCUCGAGGAAGGACAUCACCCACAGAAGAAGCACCGGCUAACUCCGUGCCAGCAGCCGCGGUAAUACGGAGGGUGCGAGCGUUAAUCGGAAUUACUGGGCGUAAAGCGCGCGUAGGCGGUCUGAUAAGCCGGUUGUGAAAGCCCCGGGCUCAACCUGGGAACGGCAUCCGGAACUGUCAGGCUAGAGUGCAGGAGAGGAAGGUAGAAUUCCCGGUGUAGCGGUGAAAUGCGUAGAGAUCGGGAGGAAUACCAGUGGCGAAGGCGGCCUUCUGGACUGACACUGACGCUGAGGUGCGAAAGCGUGGGUAGCACACAGGAUUAGAUACCCUAGUAGUC
rnacentral:rRNA from 1 species